UCACCCCCAUCCCCAAAAAUACACGAAAUUUAGCCCUGUGCAAGCAAAAUUUCAAUUUAUUUUACCUUAUUCGUGGAAUUUUCAUUUAAGAUCCAUUUAAUCGUUACAAUGAUUGUCAUCUUCAUUCAGAACCAUGCUAAUUUCAAUGAUAUUUAGACAACCGAAGUGCUAAAAUGCGAGAAAAGACAUUUACUAGGUCCUAAAACGAACCAAAAUAGAGCCACCUGGUCGAAAAUUCGAUCUUAAUUCCAAAACACAAAAAUUUAAGAGUUUUCAGCUAUUUGUUAACGUUUUACAUCAUAAAGAAUAGAUUAAUGGCAUUUCCAUUCAUUUUCGAGGAGUUUCAGAAAAUACCAUGUCCUGCCCCUUAUAAUAUGACAUAAUGUGUGAUGCUGGGAUCGAGCUAUCGAUGUAAUGAAACCAAAUUAGCCACAAAUGACCCAAAUCCUAUUGUUUACAGUAAUUCAACAAUAAUUAUAGCAAUGCUAGCAUGAAAAGGGAGUCAAGCACUAUCUGUGCUUACGUUAUCAAUACAUCAAAUAUACAAAUUAUUCUGAAACAUACAAAGAGUGUUAACCUCUUUAAAGGCACACAUCAAUAACAUAUUAAUUUCUUUACCUUUAGUGUAUCAAUACAUCUUCUUGAGCAAAAGGCUCCGACCUAUUUCAUUUACUUUUUAGUUAAAUCGAUAUAGAAACUAGUAGAGACCUGUGAUUACACUCGCAAUGUGAAGAACACUUCUAAUCGGGUUGUUUGUACGCUUUGCGUUUUGUGUUCUAAUUUAUUCUAUUUCAGACCUUUCAGAAAAAGUGAAAUCGUAAAACGAGCUUAUAUGAGAAUUGGGAAAGGAGGUUAUGACUUAGCUACGUACAAUUGCGAACACUUUGCUACAGAAUGCAGAUAUGGGAAAGGCAGAAGCAAACAGGUUGAGACUGUUGGACAGCGGGCACUGGAUUGUGUUCUACCGUCACCGUACCGGGCAUGGAACAGAGGCGAUGUAACUGAACUUUUAGCUCCACCACUGAAAUGGGCUGCAGAAAAAUUGUUCAGUACUCAUCCGGGUGACCUUGUGCUGUUUUAAGCAAUCCUCCGGUGCUGACAUUGGUUUUCUUUCUUUAUUCAGCUUGCUUAAUGAAAUAUUUUCUGUAGUUCAUGCUUAUUGAUUAGGCGAUAACCGUUAUUCCAAAGACAUUACUUAUAUUACAAUUUGUAAGAAGCUAGAUAUAGUAACUGAGAAAAAGAUAUGUCAUGCGCUUAUAUAAUCAUAUACAAUGCAUUUAAAUGUUUAAGAGAAAUACACUUUACCAUUCAGUCUUCCUGUUUAUACUUAACUCGUUCUGAACAGCUACAAUUACUUUCUGCAUUUGUUAAUCUGAUUUCUUUAUUUGCCGCAUAAAGUUGUUUCCAAAUACA